UCCCCACCCCUUGGUCUCCCAGG
rnacentral:miRNA from 1 species